rnacentral:lncRNA from 1 species
GUGAUGUCUCAGAUUUACACCCAGACAUCGUGCUGAGGGACAGGCGGCCACACGCAGACCCCACGUGGACCCCGGGGAGGUUGGAGAUGGUGCUGGGUCCUCACCGUACCAUGCUCUUGACUUCGUAUUCUUUCACAAAUUCCCACCACAAAAUGUUAAAAAAUAAACAGGAGAGAAUUCUAAAAAUCAACAUCCAUUCUUACUAGAACCCGCUAAAAACUUAAGAACACGCGUGCUCUCCCCAAAUGUGACUGAAAAUGCACAUCCCACCCCGUGGGGCAGCCACGUACUCCGAGAAGCUGCACUCCUGGUUCCCAGCCUGUUUCUAGCCACAAUCAAAUGAGAGAAAGAAACAGAAGCGCACGGAAGGCCUCCCAGGUGAGUCUGUCAUUGUGCGAACUCCACAGUGACUGACACAAAUCCAGAAGGUGCCACCCACUGCACACUGGGCUGGGCCAUGGCCUCAUGCCCCUGAGCUAGACACCUGCACAGCACAUGGCUGUACUGAGUACUGAAGGCUGCUGGGACACAAUGGCAACUGUGUAUCUAAAUAGAGAAAGUGGAGUAAAAAUACAGUAUUGUCAGCUUAUGUGACCGCGUGGUCGUAUAUGUGGUCCACGGUAGACAGAAUGUUAUGUGACACGUGACUGUACUGCAGUGGGCAGGCCAAGGCAAAUUAAAGUUAUUUAUAACUAUGUUCCCGGAAGUCUCAAAAAAUAAACAAACCGGCUCUGCCCGGCGGCCGGCAGCACGAUGUCCCAAUGCCCUCAAGAGCCUCCCUGAGCCUCCAGAAGGAGCGGCAGUGUUGGCACCCGCAGAAGCCCAGGAGGUCAUGUCUGCCUGCGCUGUCUAAUGCCACUGUCUGUGGUCAUUCGUUCCAGCAACAACAGGAAACCCAGGCCCAGGCAACCCAAGCUCAGUGAGAGGAUGGCUGGGGACAGGUUAAUACCCACAGGUAACUUCCUCCACAAAGAAAGCUGGAAAACGCAUGCACGCGCCAUCCUCAAACACACCAGCCACCGAGAAACACAAUAGGCACGUGCUGUGGUGUGGACGUGUCCCCAAGUUCACCAUCGGAAACCUGAUCCCCAACGCAACACUGCUGAGGUCGUGAGGGCUCCGUCCUCACCAAAGCGUUCUCGCUGUUAGCACAGGAGUGGCUCCUGAUAAAAGGGCUGCCAGGCAGGGAAGGGCCCCCUGUCAAGCGGACACGUGAACCACGUGACCUUACCUAUCAUUGGAGAUGGCUCACACUCUUUACCCUGCCUCUUUGUCUUGUAUCCAAUAAAUAUCAGCGCAGCCUGACAUUCGGGGCCACUACCAGUCUCCGCGUCUUGGUGGUAAUGGUCCCCCGGG